rnacentral:rRNA from 1 species
UACGUAGGUGGCAAGCGUUGUCCGGAUUUAUUGGGUUUAAAGGGUGCGUAGGCGGCCCUGUAAGUCAGUGCUGAAAUAUCCCGGCUUAACCGGGAGGGUGGCAUUGAUACUGCAGGGCUUGAAUGAAGUUGAAGUGGGCGGAAUUGACGGUGUAGCGGUGAAAUGCUUAGAUAUCGUCAAGAACACCGAUAGUGAAGACAGCUCACUAAGCUAUAUUGACGCUGAGGCACGGAAAGUGUGGGGAUACAAA